rnacentral:rRNA from 1 species
CCUACGGGGGGCAGCAGUGGGGAAUAUUGGACAAUGGGGGCAACCCUGAUCCAGCCAUGCCGCGUGUGUGAAGAAGGCCCUCGGGUUGUAAAGCACUUUCAGUGAGGAAGAACUCCUGGUGGUUAAUACCCAUCAGGAAAGACAUCACUCACAGAAGAAGCACCGGCUAACUCCGUGCCAGCAGCCGCGGUAAUACGGAGGGUGCGAGCGUUAAUCGGAAUUACUGGGCGUAAAGCGCGCGUAGGUGGCUUGAUAAGCCGGUUGUGAAAGCCCCGGGCUCAACCUGGGAACGGCAUCCGGAACUGUCAAGCUAGAGUGCAGGAGAGGAAGGUAGAAUUCCCGGUGUAGCGGUGAAAUGCGUAGAGAUCGGGAGGAAUACCAGUGGCGAAGGCGGCCUUCUGGACUGACACUGACACUGAGGUGCGAAAGCGUGGGUAGCAAACAGGAUUAGAUACCCGUGUAGUC